rnacentral:rRNA from 1 species
AUUGAACGCUGGCGGCAGGCCUAACACAUGCAAGUCGAACGGUAACAGGAAGCGGCUUGCUGCUUUGCUGACGAGUGGCGGACGGGUGAGUAAUGUCUGGGAAACUGCCCGAUGGAGGGGGAUAACUACUGGAAACGGUAGCUAAUACCGCAUAACGUCGCAAGACCAAAGAGGGGGACCUUAGGGCCUCUUGCCAUCGGAUGUGCCCAGAUGGGAUUAGCUAGUAGGUGGGGUAACGGCUCACCUAGGCGACGAUCCCUAGCUGGUCUGAGAGGAUGACCAGCCACACUGGAACUGAGACACGGUCCAGACUCCUACGGGAGGCAGCAGUGGGGAAUAUUGCACAAUGGGCGCAAGCCUGAUGCAGCCAUGCCGCGUGUAUGAAGAAGGCCUUCGGGUUGUAAAGUACUUUCAGCGGGGAGGAAGGGAGUAAAGUUAAUACCUUUGCUCAUUGACGUUACCCGCAGAAGAAGCACCGGCUAACUCCGUG